UAAACCUUCAGCCAGCAGCCCUGUCACCACGCAGGGGCCGCGCUAUGCAGACUGGGAAGAGCAGACAGGAAGCUCCUCCCCCUCUCUCACUCCACUGUAUGCUGCUGCUGGACCUUGUGGAGCAGGCCCGCUGUGUGUGUGUGUGUACAGGCCCGGACACCACCAGUAUGGAAGACUUACCUGCCCAGUGCCCACUGCUGAUGCUGCCCUUUUAAAGUUGUGAAUGCAAAACACACUGAAGAGACUGCAGCCGGCGCGCACCUCCUUGUACAGCUUACGGUGACAUCAUCACAAGCAUGUGUGACAUCACAGGGUUCUAAACCAUCUUCAGGUUACUGAGUUCCCUACUAGAAGACGGUGGGGUGGUUAACCUGUUCAUCGAAAGACGGUUUCGGUUAUCCUGUUGGAUCGAAGGAUUGUUUCAAGUCGAUGGAGCUGGUCGCUUCGAGUUUUGGAUUGGAGAAGGCGAGGUGGUCAAGAAAUUCGUUGGCUUUUUAGAGGGUUCUGAGUUUUAUUGGACUGUUCGCAUCCAGAAAGAGGAAGAAGGUGGAGUUUCAGUGGGUUUUAUAUGAUGCAAGUUGGAUGGGAUUGGUGGAUAUGAUUAAGGGGUGCGGUUAGGUUACUUGGUAACCUGCAUCCUAUGUGUUUUUUCUUUCACUAUGGAAGUUUUGUGCAUCUUUCUUUCUGC